rnacentral:rRNA from 1 species
GCGGUGAAAUGCGUAGAUAUUGGGAAGACCACCGGUGGCGAAGGCGGCUUUCUGGACAGUAACUGACACUGAGGCACGAAAGCGUGGGGAGCAACCAGGAUUAGAUACCCUGGUAGUCCACGCCGUAAACGAUGAGCACUAGUUGUUGGGUACGAAUGUAUUCAGUGACGCAGUUAACGCAAUAAGUGCUCCGCCUGGGGAGUACGGUGGCAACACUAAAACUCAAAGGAAUUGACGGGGACCCGCACAAGCAGCGGAGCAUGUGGUUUAAUUCGAAGCAACGCGAAAAACCUUACCAGGGCUUGACAUCCCUCUGACCGGAUCUUAACCGAUCCUUUCUUCGGACAGAGGUGACAGGUGGUGCAUGGUUGUCGUCAGCUCGUGUCGUGAGAUGUUGGGUUAAGUCCCGCAACGAGCGCAACCCUUGUCGUCAGUUACUAACAUUGAGUUGAGGACUCUGACGAGACUGCCGAGGUCAACUCGGAGGAAGGUGGGGAUGACGUCAAAUCAUCAUGCCCCUUAUGUUCUGGGCUACACACGUGCUACAAUGGCCGGUACAAUGAGAGGCAAAGCCGCGAGGCAGAGCAAAUCACCAAAACCGGUCCCAGUUCGGAUUGCAGGCUGCAACUCGCCUGCAUGAAGUCGGAGUUGCUAGUAAU